CGCGGGGUAGAGCAACUCGGUAGCUCACAAGGCUCAUAACCUUGAGGUCACGGGUUCAAAUCCCGUCUCCGCCA
rnacentral:tRNA from 1 species